GGUGUCCCCCAGCUGGUCCUAUUCUUUGCUAGGCCCUCAAGUCCCCGGAGCCUUUUUCCGCCAGCACUCAUCCUUCAAGCACCAAGGUGCAGUCGUUUGUAGCCCGCCGUGCCCUUGGGAGUGAACAGCGAGUCCCAGCAGCACCCCAGUGGCUUUGUGCACUGCCUCCACCACCACCACUGCCCACCACCUCUGGCUCCACCACCCAGCGGAGCCCAGAGCAAAGAGAGUCCACCAGAAAAGCGGCAGGCCGAAGCCAGAGGAAAGCUGGGCUCCUAGGCAAAGAGGUCAUUCACCUCUUGUUCCUCAAGCUGCAUGUCCAGAUAAGCAGCAUGUCCAGAGGAGUCAGGCUGGGAUAAGAGACUAAAAAUAUGAAUUCCAGAAGUGAAACAAAGAGACAUGAGAGCUAUGCUGCAUUUUUUUCCAGUUGAAGCUUCUUUGGUGUCUGUCCCAAAUAUGUUGAGCUACAGAAUCUGAGCCUGGAGAUCACAAGUGCAUUAAUCAUUUGUUUCUUGCAGAUUGUAAUAGCUGUGAGUAGAAGAGGGUGGGUGGAUAUCAUUCUUCCUGAUUCUGCUCCUCACCCCAAGAAUUUGUGCUACUGCAUUGGGCAGGCUCCUGAUAGCGGAGUCAGAAACGAUUUAUUCCAUUUCUGAUCUUGGUUUUAAAUAAAGGUGAAAUUAUGUUUGAUUUCUUUAUACGUUAGAUAGG